GGAGCGAUGACCGAGUGGCCGAAGGUGCUCCCCUGCUAAGGGAGUAUGGGAUGUAGAGUCUCAUCGAGGGUUCGAAUCCCUCUCGCUCCGCCA
rnacentral:tRNA from 1 species